AGCGAACGCUGGCGGCAGGCCUAACACAUGCAAGUCGAACGAACUCUUCGGAGUUAGUGGCGGACGGGUGAGUAACACGUGGGAACGUGCCUUUAGGUUCGGAAUAACUCAGGGAAACUUGUGCUAAUACCGAAUGUGCCCUUCGGGGGAAAGAUUUAUCGCCUUUAGAGCGGCCCGCGUCCGAUUAGCUAGUUGGUGAGGUAAAGGCUCACCAAGGCGACGAUCAGUAGCUGGUCUGAGAGGAUGAUCAGCCACAUUGGGACUGAGACACGGCCCAAACUCCUACGGGAGGCAGCAGUGGGGAAUCUUGCGCAAUGGGCGAAUGCCUGACGCAGCCAUGCCGCGUGAAUGAUGAAGGUCUUAGGAUUGUAAAAUUCUUUCACCGGGGACGAUAAUGACGGUACCCGGAGAAGAAGCCCCGGCUAACUUCGUGCCAGCCGCCGCCGUAA
rnacentral:rRNA from 1 species